rnacentral:rRNA from 1 species
UGGGCAAUCUGCCCCUAGCUCUGGGAUAACUCCGGGAAACCGGGGCUAAUACCGGAUACGACCUCGAGCGGCAUCACUUGAGGUGGAAAGUUUUUCGGCUAGGGAUGAGCCCGCGGCCUAUCAGCUUGUUGGUGAGGUAACGGCCCAUCAAGGCGACGACGGGUAGCCGGCCUGAGAGGGCGACCGGCCACACUGGGACUGAGACACGGCCCAGACUCCGUACGGGAGGCA